UACGUAGGUGGCAAGCGUUAUCCGGAUUUAUUGGGCGUAAAGGGAACGCAGGCGGUCUUUUAAGUCUGAUGUGAAAGCCUUCGGCUUAACCGGAGUAGUGCAUUGGAAACUGGGAGACUUGAGUGCAGAAGAGGAGAGUGGAACUCCAUGUGUAGCGGUGAAAUGCGUAGGUAUAUGGAGGAACACCGGUGGCGAAAGCGGCUCUCUGGCCUGUAACUGACACUGAGGCUCGAAAGCGUGGGGAGCAAACAGG
rnacentral:rRNA from 1 species